CAGAACUGCCCGGGCCUGGCUGCUGGGGACAGUUUGCACCUUCACUUAAGAUGAACCUGCUACGGAUUUUCCUGUUCAUGCUGGUGGCCCCUUUAGGUGUCCUCUCCCAAGUGCAGCUGCGGGAAACGGGCCCGGGAGCGGUGAAACCCGGGGAGUCCCUGACACUCACUUGUACCAUCUCCGGAGACUCGGUUUCUAGCACCAGUGCCACCUGGGACUGGAUCCGGCAGCCCGCGGGGAAAGGGCUGGAAUGGGUGGGACGCAUUUACUACAGCUCGAGUCAGUGGUACACGAACUACGCCAGCGCUCUGCAGAGUCGAACGACCAUCACACAAGACACCGCCAAGAACCAGUUCUCCCUGCAGCUCCGCUCGCUGACAGCUGCAGACACCGCCACCUAUUACUGCGCUAGACACACAGGCAAUGACUCUCUUGAGCUCUCUCAGGGGGUGGCAUUACAGAAGCAGGUCUCUGGAAGGAGGGUGGUGAUGGGAAAGCGGGACGGGGGCUCAGGGGACAUUCCUUCCAAUUAA